rnacentral:rRNA from 1 species
CAGAGGUGCAAGCGUUAAUCGGAUUUACUGGGCGUAAAGGGUACGUAGGUGGUCUAUUAAGUCGGAUGUGAAAUCCCUGAGCUUAACUUAGGAAUUGCAUUCGAUACUGAGAGACUAGAGUAUGGGAGAGGAUGGUAGAAUUCCAGGUGUAGCGGUGAAAUGCGUAGAGAUCUGGAGGAAUACCGAUGGCGAAGGCAGCCAUCUGGCCUAAUACUGACACUGAGGUACGAAAGCAUGGGAGCAAACAGGAUU